GAUGAACGCUGGCGGCGUGCCUAAUACAUGCAAGUCGAGCGAACAGACGAGGAGCUUGCUCCUCUGACGUUAGCGCCGGACGGGUGAGUAACACGUGGAUAACCUACCUAUAAGACUGGGAUAACUUCUGGAAACCGGAGCUAAUACCGGGUAAUAUAUUGAACCGCAUGGUUCAAUAGUGAAAGACGGUUUUGCUGUCACUUAUAGAUAGAUCCGCGCCGCAUUAGCUAGUUGGUAAGGUAACGGCUUACCAAGGCAACGAUGCGUAGCCGACCUGAGAGGGUGAUCGGCCACACUGGAGCUGAGACACGGUCCAGACUCCUACGGGAGGCAGCAGUAGGGAAUCUUCCGCAAUGGGCGAAAGCCUGACGGAGCAACGCCGCGUGAGUGAUGAAGGUCUUCGGAUCGUAAAACUCUGUUAUUAGGGAAGACCAAAUGUGUAAGUAACUAUGCACGUCUUGACGGUACCUAAGCAGAAAGCCACGGCUAACUACGUG
rnacentral:rRNA from 1 species